rnacentral:rRNA from 1 species
AUGAAGGGAGCUUGCUCCUGGAUUCAGCGGCGGACGGGUGAGUAAUGCCUAGGAAUCUGCCUGGUAGUGGGGGAUAACGUCCGGAAACGGGCGCUAAUACCGCAUACGUCCUGAGGGAGAAAGUGGGGGAUCUUCGGACCUCACGCUAUCAGAUGAGCCUAGGUCGGAUUAGCUAGUUGGUGGGGUAAAGGCCUACCAAGGCGACGAUCCGUAACUGGUCUGAGAGGAUGAUCAGUCACACUGGAACUGAGACACGGUCCAGACUCCUACGGGAGGCAGCAGUGGGGAAUAUUGGACAAUGGGCGAAAGCCUGAUCCAGCCAUGCCGCGUGUGUGAAGAAGGUCUUCGGAUUGUAAAGCACUUUAAGUUGGGAGGAAGGGCAGUAAGUUAAUACCUUGCUGUUUUGACGUUACCAACAGAAUAAGCACCGGCUAACUUCGUGCCAGCAGCCGCGGUAAUACGAAGGGUGCAAGCGUUAAUCGGAAUUACUGGGCGUAAAGCGCGCGUAGGUGGUUCAG